GGGAGUCGCACGCUCCGCCGCCGCGGGGCGUGGCGCACGGCUGAGUAGCACGUGGCUAACCUACCCUCGGGAGGGGGAUAACACCGGGAAACUGGUGCUAAUCCCCCAUAGGGGAAGGCGCCUGGAAGGGUCCUUCCCCGAAAGGGUUUGGCAGGGGUUAUCGCUGCCAAGCCGCCCGAGGAUGGGGCUACGGCCCAUCAGGUAGUUGGCGGGGUAAUGGCCCGCCAAGCCGAUAACGGGUGGGGGCCGUGAGAGCGGGAGCCCCCAGAUGGGCACUGAGACAAGGGCCCAGGCCCUAAGGGGCGCACCAGGCGCGAAACCUCCGCAAUGCGGGCAACCGUGACGGGGCCACCCCGAGUGCCCCCUUUCCGGGGGCUUUUCCCCGCUGUAGGUAGGCGGGGGAAUAAGCGGGGGGCAAGUCUGGUGUCAGCCGCCGCGGUAAUACCAGCCCCGUGAGUGGUCGGGACGGUUAUUGGGCCUAAAGCGUCCGUAGCCGGCCUGGUAAGUCCCCUCCUAAAUCCCCGGGCUCAACCCGGGGACUGGGGGGGAUACUACCGGGCUAGGGGGCGGGAGAGGCCGAGGGUACUCCCGGGGUAGGGGCGAAAUCCUAUAAUCCCGGGAGGACCACCAGUGGCGAAGGCGCUCGGCUGGAACGCGCCCGACGGUGAGGGGCGAAAGCCGGGGGAGCAAACCGGAUUAGAUACCCGGGUAGUCCCGGCUGUAAACG
rnacentral:rRNA from 1 species